UACAGAGGUCUCAAGCGUUGUUCGGAUUCAUUGGGCGUAAAGGGUGUGUAGGUGGCGCCGUAAGUCAGGUGUGAAAUUUCGGAGCUCAACUCCGAAACUGCAUUUGAUACUGCGGUGCUUGAGGACUGGAGAGGAGACUGGAAUUUACGGUGUAGCAGUGAAAUGCGUAGAUAUCGUAAGGAAGACCAGUGGCGAAGGCGGGUCUCUGGGCCGUAACUGACGCUGGAGGAGCGAAAGCAUGGGGAGCGAACAGG
rnacentral:rRNA from 1 species